rnacentral:rRNA from 1 species
GACGAACGCUGGCGGCGUGCUUAACACAUGCAAGUCGAGCGGUAAGGCCCUUUCGGGGGUACGACGAGCGGCGAACGGGUGAGUAACACGUGGGUGACCUGCCCUCAGCUCUGGGAUAAGCCUGGGAAACUGGGGUCUAAUACCGGAUAUGACUCCAUGACGCAUGUUGUGGGGUGGAAAGCCUUGUGCGGCUGAGGAUGGGCCCGCGGCCUAUCAGCUUGUUGGUGGGGUGANGGCCUACCAAGGCGACGACGGGUAGCCGGCCUGAGAGGGCGACCGGCCACACUGGGACUGAGACACGGCCCAGACUCCUACGGGAGGCAGCAGUGGGGAAUCUUGCGCAAUGGGCGAAAGCCCUGACGCAGCGACGCCGCGUGAGGGAUGACGGCCU